GGAGAUCGUGCGUGCUGGUUCUCGCCUCUCUCUCUCCCCUUCCCUCCCUCUACAGAUAGAGAAAGCGAAAGAAAAACAUAAAGCUAACAAAUCGUCAACUCUGUAAUGUAUUAUCAAACGAAGAAAUACUUCAUAUAUACAUUCCCCUAACCCUUACCUUUCUCUCACUAAAACCAUGGGAUUUUGGAAGUUUUACUGUACUAUUAUUACCAGUUAGUAGUGCUCAGAUCUGAAGUUGAAGCUCUUGACUCGAUCUCGUUCCUGUUCUAACUACUCCCAAACUUCGGCAUUGCAUUUCUGUACGGUACUUGCUUUCGAUUUUUUGAAGUUUUGUCAAUAUAUACUUCGCGCAGUCUUUUUUUUUUUUUUUUAAUAAACUGAAAAUUAUGAAUUAUAAUAAAUUACCGAAAAGGUCAAAAUUUUAGGAAAUUCGCAACUGAGAAAUGCUUUGCUUUUUAUAAUUUAAUAGUUUCUUAGGUUUUUUGUCUGUUCUGUUCUGUUCUGUUAUGGUUAUUUGUCCUCUGAGGUGAAGGAAUUUUUGUUCGAGCGAGAAGAAUUUGGGGGCUUAUGUUUGGUUUUUAGUUCUGGUUUUUGGUGAAUAAGUGAAUUUUGGGAAAAACUCAUUGGAUUAUGAGUCUGAAGUUUAGUGAAGAUUUUUAAGAAUUGAAGUAUAUAUACAUUGGUUGGAAUGCAGAAAAUAGGUAUUAUUGGGAGUGAAGCAUUUUAGUUGUACAGACAUGGCAAAAUCUAGGAUGCACUUUGCGGCGCAAGACGUAUUAACAUCAUCUCCCUCAGCAAUAAGGUCAAAGGAAUGGGAGGGUCCAACAAGGUGGAAUGAAUACUUAGGUCCAGAAAUGGCCCCUAGAUUAAAUGGUGGAGACGGUGCUACAAGCCAGAGCUCAAGCGGGUCAUCACAUAAGGGUUUGAACAUGCAAUGGUUGUACCAGCUCACGCAAGUAGCCGAAGGACUGAUGGUGAAAAUGUAUAGACUAAAUCAAAUUUUGGAUUACCCUGAUUUAGUCAGUCAUAUCUACUCAGAAGCAUUUUGGAAAUCAGGCGUGUUCCCUAACCAUCCCAAAAUUUGUAUUUUACUCGUGAAGAAGUUUCCUGAACAUCACAGCAAGUUACAGCUAGAACGGGUGAAGUUCUAGAAUUCUUUCAGAUUUAUUAGUUUAUUAUUUAGCAUUUACAUUAGCUGUAACUUAGUAAUACUUGUUUAUGUUAUUGACAAUGGAAGUAAUCCUGUAGGUUGAUAAAUUUGCUUUGGAUGCUAUGGUGGAUAGUGCAGAAGUUCAUAUACAAAGCUUGGAACCAUGGAUUCAAGUGAGUCACUUAUCUGCUGUCAUUCUUUCCAUGAUUGUACUAGUUCUUUCCAAUAAUAGUACCUCAAUUUUGAGCCGGCGUUUGUGUUGAUGGAUUAUUGGGAAUGCUUAGUUUGUUGUUUGUUGUUGUUAUUGUAUUUUUUGAGAUGUGUUGGACUAUAUAUUACAUUGUGUUAAAAAUUGUAAAUUUACCUGCUCCGCAAUCUACAUUAUUCCAACCUUUAUGUCUGACCACAUUAGAAAGUAACUGAUGACUUCAAUUCAAUGUGCUUUUUCUUUUGCUAUCUAUGAUUUUCUGGAGUUAGAAAAACUUGGAGACAAGGGCUGAAACAGAAAUGAAAACAAUCAAUAGUCACAUCCACAUCUACAUGCACACCAACGACUAUAACAAACAGUAAAAAUAUAAAGAAGUGUAUGGUGAGAUGAGGCUCAUGGUCAAAGAUGACAUGAGAUCUGUCGCAUUUCACAAAAAAAAGUCUGGAUGACUCAAUUUAUAUGAAGUGGUUUAAAAAACCAGAUGAAAUAAUGUGCAUCUACUGUUGCAAAGUUAAAGUAAGAUACUGUUUUACAGUCAAAGAGCCUGUUUGGAAAGGAUUAAAUUCUGAUUUUAAUCUAAGUGAAAGUCAAACAAUCAAUAUUAACUACAUUUUUUAUUGGUCCCACAACUUUUCAACCACAUAUUUCAAAAACUUCUAACAAAAUCUACUAAAAAAUCUAAUUUUAAUCCCCAACAAACACUCUCAAAUUAAGAAAUUUUAUGUUUUACUGGCUAUUCUUCUGUACCUUGUGUUUUCGUAUCAAUAUUGUGAUGCAUCUACUAGCUUUAUCAUAACUAUGUUACAACUGACUCCAUUGUCUUGACAGCUGCUCCUUGACCUGAUGGCAUUUCGAGAGCAAGCUUUGCGGCUCAUAUUGGAUUUAAGCAGCACUGUUAUUACCUUGCUGGUGAGGGAUGAUGCAAGUUCAUUAAUUUGUGGAGAAUCUAGAGAUGAAUUGUACCAUUUAUAAAAAUUUGGAAUGACUUGUACUUUUGGUUUGAUAUGCCCUUAGUCCAGUGAAUCCAAUGACUGAUAAUUUUUUAGAUUUUGUUUUUACGAUCAUUCUGAUGUGCGCAUUACUGAAUAAUGUGCAUCUAACAAAAAAAUCUAUUGUCACUAGCAUUAUUGAAAUUAACAACAAUGAGCAAUGUUAUUAUCAUCACAUGGCAUUUUGACACUUUGGUCACUUUCUUGCAGCCCCACCAAAAUUCUCUCAUACUACAUGCCUUUAUGGACCUCUUUUGCUCCUUUGUUCGUGUUAAUCUAUUUUCUGAGAAGGCAAGUCUGCAUUUAUGUAUUUCUUGCUUACUGUUUUUUCCCUAGGUGGAUACUCUGUUGAUUUUAUUGCUCUUGUAUGCAUGAAAUCAUGCAAUAUGCAUUCAUAAUUCAAUGUGGAUGCCUAAUUAUUACUCGAGUCUACACUGCUGUCAUAGGUACCAAGAAAAAUGAUGUUGCAAACCUACAAUAUGUUGCAUGCUAUGGCAAGAAAUGACCGAGAUUGUGAUUUUUACCACCGGUAAGAUUGUCCAUACUUGUUAGAGUUGUAAACCUCAGUGGGGUGUGUCAUAAGUUUUGAAUCUAAUCUAUCUGUGAUUUUAGAACCUUUCAUUUGAUUGCGUUUUGCACAAUGAUAUAUAUACAGAUCUAAAGAUAAAUUAAGAUGAUCUGACAAUGUAGUUUGUGACUUUUAUGGUUUCUCUGACGUUUGUAUUCCUGAUGGCAUAGACAACGAAAGUCAUUUUUGACUUCUUUACCAGAAGUAACUGUAAUGCCAGAUGAAAUGAUAUGCUUAAUAACUGUGUGCACUAUCCUGCUUUCAGAGAGAUAAGACACACUUAAGGAACCAACUAUUUGUUUUUAGUUAAGGCAGUAUCAACCUAAUGUCGACGUGAAAGAAGAUUCACGUGUCAACUUUUGGGGUUAUAAAUGAGUUUAAUCGUUGAAAGAAAAUGAAUUAGUAUUAGGGUAUUGAGAAGGACAAUAUAUAGAUUUUGGACCAUUAACUUAUUAAAUGAUAGGGAAAUUGACAAAGAUCGCCUAGAUGUAUGGAAGUAGAUGGGGUUUCUCCUCUUACUGAAGGGUGCAUUUGCAAUAAAUUAUGCGUGUUUGUGGUCAAUCUAUAUGUCAACUCUGCAGUACAAAAAAUAUUGCGUAUUGCUUGCUAACUUUUCCAUCUUUCUUGAUAACAGAUUAAUUCAAUUUGUGGAUUCCUAUGAUCCACCAUUAAAGGGGUUACAGGAAGAUCUUAAUUUUGUCAGCCCUCGAAUUGGAGAGGUAUUACGUCUUAUCUAUUUUAUUACUAAUAUAAUUACACAAGUAGAUUAUUUUUCCUUUCACAUUUUUUCCAGUACACCUUUUCUUCCAAGCACAUAAUUUGCAUAUAUAAACAGUUGCACGCAUAAAGAAAUCAUGUGUGGAAGUUACUGGUGCUAUAUGCUACACAAUGCUUGAAAAAAGUGGCAUGAGAUCACGUUUCUUGUUAUGAAAAUAUUGUGCUUGUUUGCCUUUCACUUUAAUCUCCUUAAAUUUAAAGGUCAAGUCAAACUUUAAUUUUUAAUCCACCAAUAAUUUCUAUUACAUUGAAAUUUCAGCAACUUAUAACGAAACCCAAACAUGAACGUUGUGUCAUCCUCAUGUAACAUUACAUUAUCUACCCUUUGUUAGUGUUGUUGCUCUAUAGUUUCUUAAUGCGUUCUCUCCUUUAUGUUUUCUGUUAAAAACAAGAAUUAGGCAAGUAACUAGUUUCUUCUCAUAUCCUUAUGUCAGGUGUUGGAGGCUGUGGGUCCUGUUGUAUUUUUAUCUACUGAUACAAGGAAGCUAAGAAAUGAGGGUUUUCUGAGCCCUUUUCAUCCUCGAUAUCCUGACAUACUUACCAACUCGGCACAUCCAAUGGUAAAUUGUUUUCUUUCAUUUUAUUUUUAUUUUUGAUAAAUCUAGACUAAUAAUUAUGAAUUAACGACCAAAGACAACUUCUCUGUGAAGGAAGUUAUGUAGUCAUUUUUCUCUCUUCGGGUCAUUAUUUUACAUUUACUUAUAUCUCUUCAUUUGCAGAGGGCUCAAGACUUGGCAAAUGUUACUUGCUAUAGAGAAUGGGUGUUAUUUGGAUAUCUUGUGUGCCCUGAUGAGCUUCUUAGGGUCACAAGCAUCGACAUUGCUUUGGUACAUUGCAGCCCAUCCUUUUUCCUUCUGUUUCCAUAGUGAUUUGAAAUUUUACUUUGUUGGAAAAAAUAUAUCACAAAAAAAGAUCUUUUUAAUGAAUUUAAUGGUGGUGUAUAAUAUGAAUUACCUUGGCGCUGCAAUAUAUUGUUUACAUACUUAGGAAAAUAAGACAGAAUAAGAUAUAUGCACUUAAGAAUUUGGGCCUGGGGUGGUUGAAUUUGGAUAACCAUUUUUUGGGUUGCUAUAAUAUUUUUCUGCCUGCUUGGCUAUAUAUCUAUUUACCACUAAUGAAUUCCAAUACUUCUUUCUUGGAAUGCCUUUCAGGUUGUGCUGAAGGAAAACCUAGUUCUUACAUUAUUUAGGGAUGAGGUGAGUUAUUUAUGUCCGUUCUUUCAAAUGAAACAUGUGUUUCUUCAUUUCUUCAGGCAUAUUUAAUUUAUUGCAAAAUGGGAUAUAGUGAAUUUCUUGACUGUCCAAAAAGUAUAUAUAUCUCUCAUAAAUUGACAGAAUUUUGUUGGUACCCACUACCCACUAUCUGUAUUUUUCGAGGUUGUGCUGAAGGAAAACCUAGUUCUUACAUUAUUUAGGGAUGAGGUGAGUUAUUUAUGUCCGUUCUUUCAAAUGAAACAUGUGUUUCUUCAUUUCUUCAGGCAUAUUUAAUUUAUUGCAAAAUGGGAUAUAGUGAAUUUCUUGACUGUCCAAAAAGUAUAUAUAUCUCUCAUAAAUUGACAGAAUUUUGUUGGUACCCACUACCCACUAUCUGUAUUUUUCGGAAGUUUGUGCGCAAUUAUCUAAACAGGCGUGGGGAGAUGGAAGUUAUACAGCGUGAAUAGUAAGAAGCUAAGCCUUAUGCCCAAUAAGUGCUGAUUUCUCCAAAAAUGUUUCCAAAGAAAAUUAACUUUGACUCUCAAAUAGGAUUCUCAAACUCCUGAACUCUUCUGUAACUAUAUUAUAUUCAAAUGGCUUCUUACCAUCAAUUCUGGCACCACUGGAUCUUCAGCUAGCCAAUGCUGUUCCUUGCUGUCCUUUCUAUAAAAAAGUAUAAAAUGCAGAAUCCACUCCAAGAAGGAACCCUGUAGCGUGGCAAUAAAUAGGUUCUGUAUUACACAACCUUACCCUUGUACUGACUUACCAGGCGGCAGGGCUAAGAGAGGAUGAUAACAUACUUUAAUGCAUAUUGAGCCAGGAUUUUUUUAUGGAAACCAAAAGACCUGGAACUGCAGUUGCUAAUUCAAGUAAAGUCAUGUUGUUCUUGGAAGAAGAACAAGGGCGCAAAAUUGGCACUUAUAAAACUGUGGGCUUUUAUAAUUAACCAAUAUACAGAAAAGUUCAAAGCUCUGUGAUAGCAAUUCUUAACCAUUAAUAUAUGAAGUCACUUAUUCAUUAUACGUAAAAGAAUAAACAUAACAAAGAUGUUGAGUAUAAGAUGAUUUACCAGUGAACAGCUUGGUUUGUAUACUGAUGUGAUGCUCUAUCUUUUCGUCUUCUUAAUAUGAGCUGGUAUAUCACUCUCCCAUGUUAAAUGUGCAGUAUAUAUUAUUGCAUGAGGAUUAUCAGUUGUAUGUUUUACCACGGAUAUUGGAAUCAAAGAAGAUGGCGAAGUAUGGGCGGACAAAGCAAAAGGAAGCAGAUCUGGAGUAUAGUGUUGCAAAGCAGGUGGAGAGAAUGAUAAGGUAUUAAUGGAUUGGAUACUCAAUGGAGAAUUCAUAUUCGGUAUUUUUUGUGUAUCGCAUGUCAUCUAAAUAGGGAACCCAUAAUAAUGCAAUAUGAAUACAUGGUACAAGAAAAAAACAAGGUGUCGACCAUUAUAUAAUUAUGGAAAACCAGGCAACAUUUCCAACGUGCAAGUAUAAUUGUUCCAGGGAUGUAUGACUUACCAAAAUGACGAUGCGUCAGCAACUCUCGAGAAAAUAAACAAGAAUUUUGUAACUUGGAUGUGGUCAUCCUCGCCUCUCUUUAGAGCACUGAUGUUCAAUGAUGAGAUGAAUGUUCAUUCUCUGAAAAAGAAAGAUGUGUAUCAGAAGAUUCUUGAAAUGUCACGUGGUCUCUGAAAAUGAUUAUGGCUUUGGAAAUAGGAGAGAUGCUUGAGUUUCUCAGAAGCAGAAGUUGCACUAUCAGCAUUCUCUGGUAUUUACUGUGGCUAAAGUCCUGGGUUGCAGAAACCAGUUUUUCUGAUGAAAUACGGCACUACAUUCUUAUACCUUGCGUAUAGCCUUCAAAUAUGGCUGUCUGAAAUUAUAAAGGGGGUGGGGGGAUUUGUAUGAUAUUCUUCUGAUCCCAUUUUUUACAACUUUCAUGACAUUGACCAUGUAUAUAUUGGUUUUAUUUCUGUGGAUCUAAAUGACAUGGUGGAUGUUGUAUGGUUGUAAAUGAGGGAAAAAGAGUUGUAAAUGAGGGAAAAAGAAGUUCCUAAUUAUUUGAGCGUGGACAUGUUUGUUUCAGAAUCUUGGCUUCACAAGGCUGAGUGUUCUUACUUUCUGUCUCAUUUGUUUCUACCUUAUUUUAUUUUAUUUUAUUUCCGCACACUGCUAAUAUACUCGAGGAAGUAUUUUUGUUUUGGUGGUUAUCUCUACUCUCAUUGACUGUUUCUGUUUGCUUCAUUUGAAACUUUAAAUUUGAAUCAAAAUUUCCAUCAACUUGUUUUGGACAUCUCUGCCCUUUUCUUCUGAUAUUUGUAGGAUGAUAAUCAGUUUUGGUAAUGUGUAUAUUUGGUGACUGCAGUGAAGUUCAUGAGCAAGCAUUAUUUUCAUGUGAUGCCAUACACCGUGAAAGGAGAAUUUUACUGAAGCAAGAGAUUGGAAGGAUGGUGCUCUUCUUCACUGAUCAGCCAAGUUUAAUAGCUCCAAAUAUUCAGGUAUAUUGUAUGCAUGUUUAUCUGCACGUGUAAUCUGAAUCUGAUUGAGAAAAAAAUGGUUAGAACGAUGUCAUAAGGAUAAGGAUAUUGGAAAACGUGCAUGGAAUAUGAACAUCUGGUUCUGAAUCAGUAUAGUUCUGAAGAUAGCAGUAAAUGGGAACCGCAGGGUUUGCAGUGCAAAGUUAUUAAGAAUAGUUCCUGCAUUUCCAUUUCCUUUUCCUUAAAGGAUUAGGUUUCUUCCAUGACAAAGAUAUAUGAUCAGGAUGCAUUGUUUUCUGUGAACUGUAGUUAAUUUUGUUCAUAAUAGUGGAUGCCCAUCAUUGGUUUAGACAGCUGCUGGUUAACCAACCAGAUAUUUUAUAAUAAUAGUGCCUACCAUGCUCAUCUCUAAUUCCCAUACCUAACCAUUUUAAUUGGCAUAGAUGUGUGAUUGAAAAAUAAGAAAUUUUUUUUGAUUUAUGUGUAAUAUUAUUUUAAUAAAGAAUGUGUGGUUAAAAAAAAAAGAGAGAAAACUAUAUUUUAAAAAAAAUGGCUAUCAAACGGAGCUUAAUUGAGGAAUAGGUUGGAUAUAUUUUUAAGAGUUAAAAAAUUGAUUACUCCAUGAGGGGGAAAAAAAUGAGGAAAGAAAAACUAAAAGAAAAAAUCGGGUGGUACGGAGAUCGUGCGUGCUGGUUCUCGCCUCUCUCUCUCCCCUUCCCUCCCUCUACAGAUAGAGAAAGCGAAAGAAAAACAUAAAGCUAACAAAUCGUCAACUCUGUAAUGUAUUAUCAAACGAAGAAAUACUUCAUAUAUACAUUCCCCUAACCCUUACCUUUCUCUCACUAAAACCAUGGGAUUUUGGAAGUUUUACUGUACUAUUAUUACCAGUUAGUAGUGCUCAGAUCUGAAGUUGAAGCUCUUGACUCGAUCUCGUUCCUGUUCUAACUACUCCCAAACUUCGGCAUUG
rnacentral:lncRNA from 1 species